rnacentral:rRNA from 1 species
GAUGAACGCUAGCUACAGGCUUAACACAUGCAAGUCGAGGGGAAACGACAUCGAAAGCUUGCUUUUGAUGGGCGUCGCCCGGCGCACGGGUGAGUAACGCGUAUCCAACCUGUCCAUAACUUGGGGAUAACCUUGCGAAAGUAAGAGUAAUGCUCAACGAUAUCUCAAGAAGACAUCUGAAAGAGAUUAAAGAUUUAUCGGUGAUGGAUGGGGAUGCGUCUGAAUAGCUUGUUGGCGGGGUAACGUCCCACCAAGGCGACGGUCGAGUAGAGGUUCUGAGAGGAAGGUCCCCCACAUUGGAACUGAGACACGGUCCAAACUCCUACGGGAGGCAGCAGUGAGGAAUAUUGGUCAAUGGGCGAGAGCCUGAACCAGCCAAGUAGCGUGCAGGAAGACGGCCCUAUGGGUUGUAAACUGCUUUUAUAAGGGAAUAAAGUGAGUCUCGUGAGACUUUUUGCAUGUACCUUAUGAAUAAGGACCGGCUAAUUCCGUGCCAGCCGCCGCCGUAA